CAGGACGAACGCUGGCGGCAUGCCUAAUACAUGCAAGUCGAACGCUGAAGCACUCUGCUUGCAGAGUGCGGAUGAGUGGCGAACGGGUGAGUAACACGUGGGGAAUCUGCCUAUAAGUGGGGGAUAACAUUCGGAAACGGAUGCUAAUACCGCAUAUAUUCUUGGACCGCCUGGUCCUUGAAAGAAAGACGGCUUUGCUGUCGCUUAUAGAUGAUCCCGCGGCGUAUUAGUUAGUUGGUGGGGUAAAGGCCUACCAAGACCAUGAUACGUAGCCGACCUGAGAGGGUGAUCGGCCACACUGGGACUGAGACACGGCCCAGACUCCUACGGGAGGCAGCAGUAGGGAAUCUUCCACAAUGGGUGCAAACCUGAUGGAGCAAUGCCGCGUGAAUGAAGAAGGUCUUCGGAUCGUAAAGUUCUGUUAUUAGAGAAGAACAAGUCAAGGAGUAACUGUCUUGACUUUGACGGUACCUAACCAGAAAGUCACGGCUAACUACGUGCCAGCAGCCGCGGUAAU
rnacentral:rRNA from 1 species